rnacentral:rRNA from 1 species
UACGAGAGGCCCAAACGUUAUUCGGAUUUACUGGGCUUAAAGAGUUCGUAGGCGGCGCGGAAAGUAGGGUGUGAAAGCCCUCGGCUCAACCGAGGAAUUGCGCUCUAAACUGUCGCGCUCGAGGAACCUAGAGGUGAGCAGAACUGAUGGUGGAGCGGUGAAAUGCGUUGAUAUCAUCAGGAAUACCGGAGGCGAAGGCGGCUCACUGGGGGUUAUCUGACGCUGAGGCACGAAAGCGUGGGGAGCAAACAGG